AACGCACAUUGCGCCCUGUGGUAUUCCGCAGGGCAUGCCUGUUCGAGCGUCAUUAUAACCACUCACGCCUGGCGUGGUGUUGGGACCCGCGGUUCCGCGGUCCUCAAACCCAGUGGCGGUGCCCGUGGGCUCUAAGCGUAGUAAUACUCCUCGCUAUAGGGUCCCGCGGGUUGCCCGCCAGAACCCCCAAAUUUUUCAGGUUGACCUCGGAUCAGGUAGGGAUACCCGCUGAACUUAA
rnacentral:misc_RNA from 1 species